AGCAGCCGCGGUAAUUCCAGCUCCAAUAGCGUAUAUUAAAGUUGUUGCAGUUAAAAAGCUCGUAGUUGAAUUUCGGGGUCAGUAGGUUGGUCAUGCCACUGGUAUGUACUGGUCUCACUGAUUCCUCCUUCCUGAUGAACCGUAAUGCCAUUAAUUUGGUGUUGCAGGGAACCUGGACUGUUACUUUGAAAAAAUUAGAGUGUUUAAAGCAGGCUAACGCCUGAAUACAUUAGCAUGGAAUAAUGAAAUAGGACGUUCGAUCCUAUUUUGUUGGUUUCUAGGAUUGACGUAAUGAUUAAUAGGGAUAGUUGGGGGCAUUAGUAUUCAAUUGUCAGAGGUGAAAUUCUUGGAUUUAUUGAAGACUAACUACUGCGAAAGCAUUUGCCAAGGAUGUUUUCAUUAAUCAAGAACGAAAGUUAGGGGAUCGAAGACGAUCAGAUACCGUCGUAG
rnacentral:rRNA from 1 species